rnacentral:rRNA from 1 species
UGCUGACGAGUGGCGGACGGGUGAGUAAUGUCUGGGAAACUGCCCGAUGGAGGGGGAUAACUACUGGAAACGGUAGCUAAUACCGCAUAACGUCGCAAGACCAAAGAGGGGGACCUUAGGGCCUCUUGCCAUCGGAUGUGCCCAGAUGGGAUUAGCUAGUAGGUGGGGUAACGGCUCACCUAGGCGACGAUCCCUAGCUGGUCUGAGAGGAUGACCAGCCACACUGGAACUGAGACACGGUCCAGACUCCUACGGGAGGCAGCAGUGGGGAAUAUUGCACAAUGGGCGCAAGCCUGAUGCAGCCAUGCCGCGUGUAUGAAGAAGGCCUUCGGGUUGUAAAGUACUUUCAGCGGGGAGGAAGGGAGUAAAGUUAAUACCUUUGCUCAUUGACGUUACCCGCAGAAGAAGCACCGGCUAACUCCGUGCCAGCAGCCGCGGUAAUACGGAGGGUGCAAGCGUUAAUCGGAAUUACUGGGCGUAAAGCGCACGCAGGCGGUUUGUUAAGUCAGAUGUGAAAUCCCCGGGCUCAACCUGGGAACUGCAUCUGAUACUGGCAAGCUUGAGUCUCGUAGAGGGGGGUAGAAUUCCAGGUGUAGCGGUGAAAUGCGUAGAGAUCUGGAGGAAUACCGGUGGCGAAGGCGGCCCCCUGGACGAAGACUGACGCUCAGGUGCGAAAGCGUGGGGAGCAAACAGGAUUAGAUACCCUGGUAGUCCACGCCGUAAACGAUGUCGACUUGGAGGUUGUGCCCUUGAGGCGUGGCUUCCGGAGCUAACGCGUUAAGUCGACCGCCUGGGGAGUACGGCCGCAAGGUUAAAACUCAAAUGAAUUGACGGGGGCCCGCACAAGCGGUGGAGCAUGUGGUUUAAUUCGAUGCAACGCGAAGAACCUUACCUGGUCUUGACAUCCACGGAAGUUUUCAGAGAUGAGAAUGUGCCUUCGGGAACCGUGAGACAGGUGCUGCAUGGCUGUCGUCAGCUCGUGUUGUGAAAUGUUGGGUUAAGUCCCGCAACGAGCGCAACCCUUAUCCUUUGUUGCCAGCGGUCCGGCCGGGAACUCAAAGGAGACUGCCAGUGAUAAACUGGAGGAAGGUGGGGAUGACGUCAAGUCAUCAUGGCCCUUACGACCAGGGCUACACACGUGCUACAAUGGCGCAUACAAAGAGAAGCGACCUCGCGAGAGCAAGCGGACCUCAUAAAGUGCGUCGUAGUCCGGAUUGGAGUCUGCAACUCGACUCCAUGAAGUCGGAAUCGCUAGUAAUCGUGGAUCAGAAUGCCACGGUGAAUACGUUCCCGGGCCUUGUACACACCGCCCGUCACACCAUGGGAGUGGGUUGCAAAAGAAGUAGGUAGCUUAACCUUCGGGAGGGCGCUUACCACUUUGUGAUUCAUGACUGGGGUGAAGUCGUAACAAGGUAACCGUAGGGGAACCUGCGGUUGGAUCACCUCCUUACCUUAAAGAAGC